UACGUAGGGGGCAAGCGUUAUCCGGAUUUACUGGGUGUAAAGCGUUCGUAGGCGGCAAGGUAAGUCUGAUGUUAAAGCCCGGGGCUCAACUCCGGUUCGGCAUUGGAUACUAUCUAGCUAGAAUGUGGUAGAGGUAAAGGGAAUUCCUGGUGUAGCGGUGAAAUGCGUAGAUAUCAGGAGGAACAUCGGUGGCGAAAGCGCUUUACUGGACCAUUAUUGACGCUGAGGAACGAAAGCCAGGGGAGCAAAUGGG
rnacentral:rRNA from 1 species